AAGGAUAUUGUGAGGACAUGAGGACGUGGCACGUAGAAUUACACAGAAGACAGUCUGGGAUACAUUGACAGAGACAGAAGAUUCUGCACUUUGGCAGUCUGGUUGGGAGGCACGCAAGUACCUCACACAGAAGGAAUAGCUCUUCAGGAGUGGUCUUGCAGUGCUCAGCGUGAAAACCCACAUGACAAUUGGACAGGCAAUCACAUU
rnacentral:lncRNA from 13 species